rnacentral:rRNA from 1 species
GGGGUGACUGCGUACCUUUUGUAUAAUGGGUCAGCGACUUAUAUUUAGUAGCAAGGUUAAGCGAAUAGCGGAGCCGUAGCGAAAGCGAGUGUUAACUGCGCGUUGAGUUGCUAGGUAUAGACCCGAAACCCGGUGAUCUAGCCAUGAGCAGGUUGAAGGUUGAGUAACAUCAACUGGAGGACCGAACCCACUGACGUUGAAAAGUCAGGGGAUGACUUGUGGCUGGGGGUGAAAGGCCAAUCAAACCGGGAGAUAGCUGGUUCUCCCCGAAAUCUAUUUAGGUAGAGCCUCGGACGAAUUCCAUUGGGGGUAGAGCACUGUUAAGGCUAGGGGGUCAUCCCGACUUACCAACCCUUUGCAAACUCCGAAUACCAAUGAGAACUAUCCGGGAGACACACGGCGGGUGCUAACGUCCGUCGUGGAGAGGGAAACAACCCAGACCGCCAGCUAAGGUCCCAAAAUAUUGCUAAGUGGGAAACGAUGUGGGAAGGCACAGACAGCUAGGAGGUUGGCUUAGAAGCAGCCACCCUUUAAAGAAAGCGUAAUAGCUCACUAGUCGAGUCGGCCUGCGCGGAAGAUGUAACGGGGCUAAGCAAUAUACCGAAGCUGCGGCAGCACAGUUUACUGUGCUGGGUAGGGGAGCGUUGUGUAAGUGGAUGAAGGUGAGUUGUAAAGCUUGCUGGACAUAUCACAAGUGCGAAUGCUGACAUGAGUAACGAUAAUGGGAGUGAAAAACUCCCACGCCGGAAGACCAAGGUUUCCUGUCCCAUGCUAAUCAGGGCAGGGUAAGUCGGCCCCUAAGGCGAGGCAGAAAUGCGUAGUCGAUGGGAAACGGAUUAAUAUUUCCGUACUUAUAUAAUCAGUGAUGGAGGGACGGAGAAGGCUAGGCAAGCUUGGCGUUGGUUGUCCAAGUGAAAGUGCGUAGACCGAGAACUUAGGUAAAUCCGGGUUCUUAAAGUCGAGACACGAGACGAGCCACCAAGGUGGUGAAGUUGUUGAUGCCCUGCUUCCAGGAAAAGCUUCUAAACUUAUGAUUAUAUGAACCGUACCCCAAACCGACACAGGUGGUCAGGUAGAGAAUACUAAGGCGCUUGAGAGAACUCGGGUGAAGGAACUCGGCAAAAUUGUACCGUAACUUCGGGAGAAGGUACGCCUCUGUGUGUGAAGACUUCGCGUCGUAAGCACAUGGAGGCCGCAGUGACCAGGUGGCUGGGACUGUUUAUUAAAAACACAGCACUCUGCAAACUCGUAAGAGGACGUAUAGGGUGUGACACCUGCCCGGUGCCGGAAGGUUAAUUGAUGGGGUUAGUUUUCGGACGAAGCUCUUGAUCGAAGCCCCGGUAAACGGCGGCCGUAACUAUAACGGUCCUAAGGUAGCGAAAUUCCUUGUC